GAGUUUGAUCCUGGCUCAGGAUGAACGCUGGCGGCGUGCUUAACACAUGCAAGUCGAACGGGGGUGCCAUUUUCGAGAUGAUUAGUUUACUAAGAGCCAAGAUGUUGGUAUCUUAGUGGCGGACGGGUGAGUAACGCGUGGGUAACCUGCCUUAUACAGGGGGAUAACACUUAGAAAUAGGUGCUAAUACCGCAUAAGCGCACGGGGCUGCAUGGCCCAGUGUGAAAAACUCCGGUGGUAUAAGAUGGACCCGCGUCUGAUUAGCUUGUUGGCGGGGUAACGGCCCACCAAGGCGACGAUCAGUAGCCGGCCUGAGAGGGUGGACGGCCACAUUGGGACUGAGACACGGCCCAAACUCCUACGGGAGGCAGCAGUGGGGAAUAUUGGACAAUGGGGGGAACCCUGAUCCAGCGACGCCGCGUGAGUGAAGAAGUAUUUCGGUAUGUAAAGCUCUAUCAGCAGGGAAGAAAGAAAUGACGGUACCUGACUAAGAAGCCCCGGCUAACUACGUGCCAGCAGCCGCGGUAAUACGUAGGGGGCAAGCGUUAUCCGGAUUUACUGGGUGUAAAGGGAGCGUAGACGGUUGUGCAAGUCUGAANGUGAAAGCGGGGGCCCAACCCCCGGACUGCUUUGGAAACUGUAUAACUGGAGUGCGGGAGAGGUAAGUGGAAUUCCUAGUGUAGCGGUGAAAUGCGUAGAUAUUAAGAGGGACACCAGUGGCGAAGGCGGCUUACUGGACUGUAACUGACGUUGAAGCUCGAAAGCGUGGGGAGCAAACAGGAUUAAAUACCCUGGUA
rnacentral:rRNA from 1 species